rfam:Camelus ferus unplaced genomic scaffold scaffold616, whole genome shotgun sequence.
GAGGGUACAGCUCAGUGGCAGAGCACAUGCCUAGCAAACACAAGGUCCUGAGUUCAAUCCCCAGUACCUCCA